GCCAUGCAUGUCUAAGUAUAAGCAAUUAUACCGUGAAACUGCGAAUGGCUCAUUAAAUCAGUUAUCGUUUAUUUGAUAGUACCUUACUACUUGGAUAACCGUGGUAAUUCUAGAGCUAAUACAUGCUGAAAACCCCAACUUCGGGAGGGGUGUAUUUAUUAGAUAAAAAACCAACGCCCUUCGGGGCUUCUGGUGAUUCAUGAUAACUUUACGGAUCGCAUGGCCUUGCGCCGGCGACGGUUCAUUCAAAUUUCUGCCCUAUCAACUUUCGAUGGUAAGGUAUUGGCUUACCAUGGUUUCAACGGGUAACGGGGAAUUAGGGUUCGAUUCCGGAGAGGGAGCCUGAGAAACGGCUACCACAUCCAAGGAAGGCAGCAGGCGCGCAAAUUACCCAAUCCCGACACGGGGAGGUAGUGACAAUAAAUACUGAUACAGGGCUCUUUUGGGUCUUGUAAUUGGAAUGAGUACAAUUUAAACCUCUUAACGAGGAACAAUUGGAGGGCAAGUCUGGUGCCAGCAGCCGCGGUAAUUCCAGCUCCAAUAGCGUAUAUUAAAGUUGUUGCAGUUAAAAAGCUCGUAGUUGAAACUUGGGUCUGGCUGGCAGGUCCGCCUCACCGCGUGUACUUGUCCGGCCGGGCCUUCCUUCUGGAGAACCUCAUGCCCUUCACUGGGCGUGUUGGGGACCAGGACUUUUACUUUGAAAAAAUUAGAGUGUUCAAAGCAGGCCUUUGCUCGAAUACGUUAGCAUGGAAUAAUAGAAUAGGACGUGCGGUUCUAUUUUGUUGGUUUCUAGGACCGCCGUAAUGAUUAAUAGGGACAGUCGGGGGCAUCAGUAUUCAAUUGUCAGAGGUGAAAUUCUUGGAUUUAUUGAAGACUAACUACUGCGAAAGCAUUUGCCAAGGAUGUUUUCAUUAAUCAGUGAACGAAAGUUAGGGGAUCGAAGACGAUCAGAUACCGUCGUAGUCUUAACCGUAAACUAUGCCGACUAGGGAUCGGGCGAUGUUUCUUUUUUUUGACUCGCUCGGCACCUCACGAGAAAUCAAAGUUUUUGGGUUCUGGGGGGAGU
rnacentral:rRNA from 1 species